AGGAGCCGGAUGAAGGGAAACUUUCACGUCCGGUUUUGCAGCCGAGCGAAAGGGGUGACUCUUUCGCUUAGGCAACCCUAC
rnacentral:ncRNA from 1 species